rnacentral:rRNA from 1 species
GAACUGAAACAUCUAAGUACCUGCAGGAAGAGAAAGAAAAUUCGAUUCCCUGAGUAGCGGCGAGCGAAACGGGAAAAGCCCAAACCAGCAAGCUUGCUUGUUGGGGUUGUAGGACUCCAAUAUGGUAGUUCUUUCAGAUAGUCGAAUGACUUGGAAAAGUCAGUCAAAGAGGGUAAAAACCCCGUAGACGAAAUGUGGAAGACACCUAGGAGGAUCCUGAGUACGGCGGAACACGAGAAAUUCCGUCGGAAUCCGGGAGGACCAUCUCCCAAGGCUAAAUACUCCCUAGUGACCGAUAGUGAACCAGUACCGUGAGGGAAAGGUGAAAAGCACCCCGGAAGGGGAGUGAAAUAGAACCUGAAACCGUGUGCCUACAACAAGUCAAAGCCCGUUAAUGGGUGAUGGCGUGCCUUUUGUAGAAUGAACCGGCGAGUUACGAUUGCAUGCGAGGUUAAGUUGAAGAGACGGAGCCGCAGCGAAAGCGAGUCUGAAUAGGGCGUUUGAGUAUGUAGUCGUAGACCCGAAACCAUGUGAUCUACCCAUGUCCAGGUUGAAGGUGCGGUAAAACGCACUGGAGGACCGAACCCACGUACGUUGAAAAGUGCGGGGAUGAGGUGUGGGUAGCGGAGAAAUUCCAAACGAACUUGGAGAUAGCUGGUUCUCUCCGAAAUAGCUUUAGGGCUAGCCUCGGAAUUGAGAAUGAUGGAGGUAGAGCACUGUUUGGACUAGGGGCCCAUCUCGGGUUACCGAAUUCAGAUAAACUCCGAAUGCCAUUCAUUCAUAUCCGGGAGUCAGACUGUGAGUGAUAAGAUCCAUAGUCGAAAGGGAAACAGCCCAGACCACCAGCUAAGGUCCCAAAAUAUAUGUUAAGUGGAAAAGGAUGUGGGGUUGCACAGACAACUAGGAUGUUGGCUUAGAAGCAGCCAUCAUUUAAAGAGUGCGUAAUAGCUCACUAGUCGAGUGACCCUGCGCCGAAAAUGUACCGGGGCUAAACAUAUUACCGAAGCUGUGGAGUACACCUUUAGGUGUAUUGGUAGGAGAGCGUUCUAAGGGCGUUGAAGGCAGAUCGUGAGGACUGCUGGAGCGCUUAGAAGUGAGAAUGCCGGUAUGAGUAGCGAAAGACAGGUGAGAAUCCUGUCCACCGAAUGACUAAGGUUUCCUGGGGAAGGCUCGUCCGCCCAGGGUUAGUCGGGACCUAAGCCGAGGCCGACAGGCGUAGGCGAUGGAUAACAGGUUGAUAUUCCUGUACCCGUUGUUUUUGUUUGAGCAAUGGAGGGACGCAGGAGGCUAAGGAAUGCAGACGAUCGGAAAUGUCUGUCCAAGCAGUAAGUCUGAAGAGGAGUCAAAUGCUUCUUUUCUUAAGGACAAGCUGUGAUGGGGAGGGAAAUAAUAGUACCGAAGUUCCUGAUGUCACACUGCCGAGAAAAGCUUCUAGUGAGAAAACAGCGGCCCGUACCGCAAACCGACACAGGUAGUCGAGGAGAGAAUCCUAAGGUGAGCGAGAGAACUCUCGUUAAGGAACUCGGCAAAAUGACCCCGUAACUUCGGGAGAAGGGGUGCUGAUCAUACGAUCAGCCGCAGUGAAUAGGCCCAAGCGACUGUUUAUCAAAAACACAGGUCUCUGCAAAAUCGUAAGAUGAAGUAUAGGGGCUGACGCCUGCCCGGUGCUGGAAGGUUAAGAGGAGUGCUUAGCGCAAGCGAAGGUACGAAUUGAAGCCCCAGUAAACGGCGGCCGUAACUAUAACGGUCCUAAGGUAGCGAAAUUCCUUGUCGGGUAAGUUCCGACCCGCACGAAAGGCGUAACGAUUUGGGCACUGUCUCAACGAGAGACUCGGUGAAAUUUUAGUACCUGUGAAGAUGCAGGUUACCCGCGACAGGACGGAAAGACCCCAUGGAGCUUUACUGUAGUUUGAUAUUGAGUGUCUGUACCGCAUGUACAGGAUAGGUAGGAGCCGUAGAAAUCGGAACGCUAGUUUCGAUGGAGGCGCUGGUGGGAUACUACCCCUGCGUUAUGGCCACUCUAACCCGCACCACUAAUCGUGGUGGGAGACAGUGUCAGAUGGGCAGUUUGACUGGGGCGGUCGCCUCCUAAAAGGUAACGGAGGCGCCCAAAGGUUCCCUCAGAAUGGUUGGAAAUCAUUCGAAGAGUGUAAAGGCAGAAGGGAGCUUGACUGCGAGACCAACAAGUCGAGCAGGGACGAAAGUCGGGCUUAGUGAUCCGGUGGUUCCGCAUGGAAGGGCCAUCGCUCAACGGAUAAAAGCUACCCUGGGGAUAACAGGCUUAUCUCCCCCAAGAGUCCACAUCGACGGGGAGGUUUGGCACCUCGAUGUCGGCUCGUCGCAUCCUGGGGCUGUAGUCGGUCCCAAGGGUUGGGCUGUUCGCCCAUUAAAGCGGCACGCGAGCUGGGUUCAGAACGUCGUGAGACAGUUCGGUCCCUAUCCGUCGCGGGCGUUGGAAAUUUGAGAGGAGCUGUCCUUAGUACGAGAGGACCGGGAUGGACUUACCGCUGGUGUACCAGUUGUUCUGCCAAGGGCAUUGCUGGGUAGCUAUGUAGGGAAGGGAUAAACGCUGAAAGCAUCUAAGUGUGAAGCCCACCUCAAGAUGAGAUUUCCCAUUUCUUUAAGAAAGUAAGAUCCCUGAGAGAUGAUCAGGUAGAUAGGUCAGGAGUGGAAGUACAGUGAUGUAUGGAGCGGACUGAUACUAAUCGAUCGAGGACUUAACCAA